CGGCGGACGGGUGCAGUAACACGUGGGUAACCUGCCUGUAAGACUGGGAUAACUCCGGGAAACCGGAGCUAAUACCGGAUAGUUCCUUGAACCGCAUGGUUCAAGGAUGAAAGACGGUUUCGGCUGUCACUUACAGAUGGACCCGCGGCGCAUUAGCUAGUUGGUGGGGUAAUGGCUCACCAAGGCGACGAUGCGUAGCCGACCUGAGAGGGUGAUCGGCCACACUGGGACUGAGACACGGCCCAGACUCCUACGGGAGGCAGCAGUAGGAAAUUUUUCCCCCAAUGGACGCAAAGUUCGACCGAAGCAACGGCGGCUUGAAGGGAUGAAGAUUUUCCGGAUUCGUAAAAGCUCUCUGUUUGUUAGGAAAGAAACAACGGUGCGCGAGAGUAACUGGCUCGCACCCUUGACCGGUACCUAUCCAGAAAGCCACCGGCUUACUACCGUGCCAGCCAGCCCGCCGGGUUAAUACCGUAAGGUGGCCAAGCCGUUGUCCGGAAAUUAUUGGGCCGUAAAAGGGCUCGGCAGGCGGGUUUUCUUAAGUCUGAUGUGAAAGCCCCCCGGCUCAACCGGGGAGGGUCAUUGGAAACUGGGAAACUUGAGUGCAGAAGAGGAGAGUGGAAUUCCACGUGUAGCGGUGAAAUGCGUAGAGAUGUGGAGGAACACCAGUGGCGAAGGCGACUCUCUGGUCUGUAACUGACGCUGAGGAGCGAAAGCGUGGGGAGCGAACAGGAUUAGAUACCCUGGUAGUCCACGCCGUAAACGAUGAGUGCUAAGUGUUAGGGGGUUUCCGCCCCUUAGUGCUGCAGCUAACGCAUUAAGCACUCCGCCUGGGGAGUACGGUCGCAAGACUGAAACUCAAAGGAAUUGACGGGGGCCCGCACAAGCGGUGGAGCAUGUGGUUUAAUUCGAAGCAACGCGAAGAACCUUACCAGGUCUUGACAUCCUCUGACAACCCUAGAGAUAGGGCUUUCCCUUCGGGGACAGAGUGACAGGUGGUGCAUGGUUGUCGUCAGCUCGUGUCGUGAGAUGUUGGGUUAAGUCCCGCAACGAGCGCAACCCUUGAUCUUAGUUGCCAGCAUUCAGUUGGGCACUCUAAGGUGACUGCCGGUGACAAACCGGAGGAAGGUGGGGAUGACGUCAAAUCAUCAUGCCCCUUAUGACCUGGGCUACACACGUGCUACAAUGGACAGAACAAAGGGCUGCAAGACCGCAAGGUUUAGCCAAUCCCAUAAAUCUGUUCUCAGUUCGGAUCGCAGUCUGCAACUCGACUGCGUGAAGCUGGAAUCGCUAGUAAUCGCGGAUCAGCAUGCCGCGGUGAAUACGUUCCCGGGCCUUGUACACACCCCCUAUCACACCUCGAGAGUUUGCAACACCCGAAGUCGGUGAGGUAACCUUUAUGGAGCCAGCCGCCGAAGUGGGGCAGAUGAU
rnacentral:rRNA from 1 species